UUUGAACAGAUGAAAAGGGUAUACGCAAUAAUUCUUUGUUUGUUAAUUUUUUCCAAUUUGGUUAUAGGCGAUGGUGCGGCAAUCGUGGGAGCUGGAGGGGGGUAUGAUAAUGAUAGAAUAUUUUCGGAUGUUGGAAUACAAGCUUUGAUCAACCACCUAAAUGACAUCAGGGCAUCGGAUGGCAGAGGUUCGCCAUUAAAUCAAGAAGCCUGAAAAUGAAGACCUCUAUUUGAAAUAUUCACAUCAAGAAUAAAAUAGAGUUAAAAACAAUA